rnacentral:rRNA from 1 species
UACAGAGGGGGCAAGCGUUGUUCGGAAUUACUGGGCGUAAAGGGCGCGUAGGCGGCCUGUUAAGUCGAACGUGAAAUCCCCGGGCUCAACUCGGGAACUGCGUCCGAUACUGGCGGGCUUGAAUCCGGGAGAGGGAUGCGGAAUUCCAGGUGUAGCGGUGAAAUGCGUAGAUAUCUGGAGGAACACCGGUGGCGAAGGCGGCAUCCUGGACCGGCAUUGACGCUGAGGCGCGAAAGCUAGGGGAGCAAACGGG